rnacentral:rRNA from 1 species
UACGAAGGGGGCUAGCGUUGCUCGGAAUCACUGGGCGUAAAGGGUGCGUAGGCGGGUCUUUAAGUCAGGGGUGAAAUCCUGGAGCUCAACUCCAGAACUGCCUUUGAUACUGAAGAUCUUGAGUUCGGGAGAGGUGAGUGGAACUGCGAGUGUAGAGGUGAAAUUCGUAGAUAUUCGCAAGAACACCAGUGGCGAAGGCAGCUCGCUGGAACGGUACUGACGCUGAGGCGCGAAAGCGUGGGGAGCAAACAGG